rnacentral:rRNA from 1 species
AUUUUAAGUUAAUUACUUAAUAGAAUGAAAGCGGAGACUAGAGGUCAAACCUUUUAGCCGCACUUUUGAAAUUGAAGGUAGAGUGAAAUUUCUUUACUUUUGCACAUAGAAGAGAAGACCCUAAAACUUUGUAAAGGAUAAUCAAAGCACUUUUAAAGUUUAAUUGGGGUAAUUACACAAACAAAUAAGCGAGUAACUCUGAGAAAAGAGCCUUAAGGAUUUAAUGUAGAAAGUACUUUAGGGAUAACAGCGCCGCGGCUAAAAAAGCUCUUAUUAAAAAAGCCAACAGC